UUUCACUUCACUGACUAUGGUAGGUUUUUGUGGCCGGAAAGUUUUUCCAGUGGAUUACCCCUGGGACAAGGAGAAGUACAUGUUCUGUAAGAGCUAAAUUGAGAUUGAAGUUCCAAAGUGGCUUAAGGAAGGGGGAAAGUGGGAGUAUCAAGGAAGGUGGUGAAAUAAGGUUGGGAGCAGAGACAGGACUGCAUCGCAGGAGCCCACUCAGAUAGCAGACUCUGCAUCUGGCUCCUCAGCCUCCACUGGGAGCCCCUCAGCAAGACUGUUACGGGGACACAGAAGCAGGUGGAAAACCUCACAAGACUCAGUCAACUCUAUUGGCAUCAUGUCUUGCUCCAAGGACUCAGAUGAGCUUAUUUUCUUUGUGAAUGGAAGAAAACUCUGUUUCCAGGGAUGUUAAAUCAUCCUAAGAAAUGUCCUUUGAUGGGGACCCUCAACUUCUUGGUCAGCAUCAUAUUUAACUGAGGCUCCAGCAUUGGUCUCCAGGGCCAACACCAGGCUACCUGUGAACACAUGAUCCUUGCCUGGACUGCCCUUCCAUGCAACUGAAGGUUCACAAACAGGAGCUCUGAGAGCCAAAACCAGUUUGAGUUUCCCAAAGGUGAGCCUCAGUGUAUGUCUUGCCAAUCUGCCUCCUGGAGGUUAU
rnacentral:lncRNA from 1 species